rnacentral:lncRNA from 1 species
UAGUAAAUGAUUGCUUCUCGAUGGUUAGAACAGUUUUUGGCGAUCUCGAUCGUUGCGGUCUUGACGCAGGCGUUGCAAGUUGUUCUGUUGACGUCUCCUGUGCAUAAGAACAUACCAUGGACUGUCUCUGAAGCUUGACCGGUCGUGAGGUUGUAAUAGUUAGCGAGCGAUGAUUGAUUGCUAAGAGUGGAGAGGAGAGUGUUGAGAUUUGUGUGGUAAGUUGAGUUGCGAGUGAAGAUUCCAGAUGAUUUGAUGCAGAAAGUUUCCAUGUGCUUGGAUUCGGACACCGUUUUGUUAGUGGUGAAGAGGAGACAUAAGAGACAAGAGAAGCAAAAGAAAGGAGAGAAUUUCUGUGUUGUUGCCAUGGUUUUACUUUUGUGGUUACGAGACAUAGACAAGAAGAAGAAACUGAUUUCUAUUGUAUAGAGGGAAAGUCGUUGACUUAGCAAGUUCAUUAGUCUUUCUUUAAGUUUUCUUUUUGGCCUUUGUUAAGUUGUAUUUCUUAUAAUUUUGUACUUUAAUUUCCUUCGGUUCUCCCAAAAAAGAGUUGACUAAUGGCUGAGGAUAGUUCAAGUGGGGAUUAAUGAAGGGGAAAGUUUAAGUACAAGAUGUAAGAAAAAACAAAAAAAGAUAGCUAUGUAAUAAAAUGAUAUUAAAACCAAUAAUGUUUUUUUGUUUUGUUUUUAGAUUGUUUUUUGGAUAUUUUAAAUAAUAGGAAAUAUGAAUGAGGAUCUGUUCUCUGUGGAAGCCUCCGUUUUUUUUUCAGUUUAGAGCCCCCAUUGUUUUAGGGCCGCCCCUGCUAGUGUCACAUUAAUCUCACAAUCCUUCAAAAUUAUAUUACUGAAAAAUGUACAUAUGCUACUAGCUUUCGACGGCCAGUUUGACAAUUACUAUCGGUUUUUCAAAAGAAAAGUGAGUUACAUGCGUGCGCUUUCUAUAUGGUUAGAUUUUCAUUAGUAGAAUACUUUCAUUUCUAUUUAACCAGUCCAAAUUGUAUUAUGGUUUACACUCAUUAAAAAAUCUGGUGAAUGCACUCUUUUAUUGCCAGUGAAAAUAAUUUAUGCAUGCAAAAUUGAGUGGUGAAUUCAAGUUUUUGUUCGGUUGUUCCUGAUUGUUUCGUGGUUUUUUACAAUUAAUGUUUUUCAACCCGAGAUGUAGGUAAAUGAAAAAACAAUCAUUUAAAAAAAUCCUUACAAAUUACAACAACUGAAUAUAUAACCACAUUAGCAUAAAAUGAAGCAAAAUUAACGAAAAUAAUGAAUUAUUUUUACUCUUCUUAGGCUUUAACUGUAAGAUCUAUCUUGAGGUUAUUAUGUAUAAAUUAAUGUGUUAAAAUUAUUGUUUUAGUUAGUCAAUUCUGGUUUCACUUUGGAAUAAAGUUAAUGAUAAAAAUAUAUGUACUAUGAAAUAUUUAUAUGUGGAUACAUUUACUAACUUUUUAAUUUGAUGAAAAACCGAAUUAAAAAUUGUUUCUCUAUAAAUAAAGAGGGUUAUAGUUCCAAAGCAACCCAAACACAUAAUAAUCUAGAGAAAAAUUUGUAAUAAUAUUUCCUAAAUUGAAUGUAUUUUGAAAACUAACUCAUGUUUUCAAAAAUUUGAAAUUUUUUUUAAAUUAAAAAUUACCAAAUUAUCGUAGAUAAUGUUUCCACAUUCUAGUGAAUAAUCGUUGAAUAAGUCUAGUGUAGCGUUGGAAUAAAGUUAUAUUGAGUUUUUAAUGGCGUCGAAGAAACAAUGGAUUUCACCUUGUUUUGUAUAAAAGAUUGUGUUAAGUGAAGAAGUCAUGGUUCUUAUCUAGCUCCUCGUUUACCUUGCCAUAUAUUUUAAUUUCAACAACCUAAUAAUUUUUAUAAAUUUGGUGAAUUCUAGAACUAUUGUAAUCUCUCACAACAUAGUUGAGAACAUUAUGAAUUUCUCUACAUUCAAGACUGAACAAAUAAACACUCUUAUAAAAGAAUUAUGUUUUUUUUUUACAUUAAAUAAUAACGUUUUAAGCCAUCCAAGAAGAAGUCUUAUUGCAUUAAUGUAAAUGACUUGAAUCACAUGAUUUUUGAAAGUAACAAUACAAUGAUACAUGAAUUAAUAAUAAAAAACUUUAUUAAUUACAAUAUUAACGUACUAAUCUCUAAAUCAUGCUAAAGAUGACUAGCUGAACACUUCAUCAUCAGCUAUAUUAAAUAGCUACUGUAAUUCCAAGUUUAUAAGGAUACUACAUGUGUGUUAGUUAAUAAAAAGAUUAUUUUUCAAAUUUUUGAAAGCAUGGAUUACUUUUCAAAUUAUAAGAAAUUUUAAAAUUAUUAAACAAAAUCUUCCUAAUAUCUAUGCAUCCCAUCACCAGAAAACUAAAGAAAUAACAGGAUUUGUUUUAGAAGAUUUAACCCAGUGGCGGAGCCAGUAAAUGUUUUCAUUGGGAGCAAAAAAGUUUAAUGGGGGCAAAUUAAUUGAUUAAUAUGGGGGCAAUUCUUAUUAUUGUUAACAAUUUAUACUAAUCAAAAUUUUUUUAUAGGGGGCAAUUGCCCCCAUCUUACCACAUAUGCCUCCGCUAAUUUUAACCCAUAUCUAGAAUUUAAGCUAUGAUUUCAACGCUUCUUUAUAUAUACAUGCAGAAAUUGUUGCGGAAUUUAUACAUACUAUAUACACAAGAAAUUUAAAUACAUUUUUUUUAAAAAACGUAUUUUUAAAUAUGUGGAAUACAAUGAUAUGCGAAACAAGACUACUCCCAUCCUGAUGGUAAGUGAGUCCUAAUCCUGGUGGGUCUAUAUGGAAUAAAUAUGUGGUCGAUACAUAAAGGAAGACUUGCACAAUUCCAAGUCAAGCUGGACGUAUAAUUGGAAAUCCUCAAGACGUAAUAUUCACAUCCAGUUGUAAUCAGAGAAGAAAUUAUGAGAAACAAACAGGAUUCAUAAUGGUAUAAUUGGUUCAUAGUUUUGUCUUCUUUCUGGGGGUCUCGGUCUUGGUCGUAUUCCAAAAUGGGACGAUUUACAAGCUAAGCAUUAUGACUAACUCUUAUCAUCGUUUUUUUUAAUCUAAUCUAUACUAUUAUUUGUGAAGUCAAAAAUCUAAUGUGUAGUCUCCACAGCGAUUGUCAUACGUGUCAUUAUUAAAAAAUUAUAUAGCAUUUUAAUUAGUUCGGAUAGGUCGAUUAUUAAUCUACGUAUAAAUACCUGUGAGAUGAUUUUUUUCUCUCUCUAAUAUAGGCCAGCGAUUUUUUUUAUGGGUCACCGAUCUCGAAGUCACCCCUAGCCACUGAUUUUGGUUAUGGGCCACCGAUAUCAAAAUCGGUACUAACUUAACCCUAACGUAUCCAUCGUGCCAUAUAUACUCAUCUCAAUCUUCACGUUUUCUUACAUACUAUGUCUAUUUUCUAAGAUCUAGCAUUUUUUUCAAAAAUUCAUCCAGGUUUUUUUUUAAAUUGAUAUAUACAACUAUUUAUGCAUUUUCGUAAUGACAACCUACUAUUUUUUUAUAGUUCAUACUUUGUUGACUGAAUGUUUUAUCUCUCACCUUACAAUAGAAUCUUCAGAUAAAUAAAAUUUAUGUUUUUUUUAUUUAGUUCGUGCUAAAUUUUUUUUUGUGCUUCUAGAUGUUCUUCUUAUGUAAAUCCAUUUUCUAAUAGUUCUUUUCUUCAAUUUUUUUAUGAAUUUUCGGUAGCGACUAGCAAUCGUCCCUUCUGUGAUCCUCGGAUUUUGCCAUAUCAUCUGCCUCCAUCUCAAAUUGUUUUUUCAAAAGAUGAACAAUUUUCUGCCAAUGUUUACAACAAUAAAUUUACAGGUUGGUUGAAAGUGUAAUUAUGACUAUCCUGAUGCCAUAUCGUAUAUGUAUUCUGAAUUUCUGACCCAUUAGGUUUGGGAUCGUAAAAACGUCAAAUGGCAUCCCCGUCUUUGCGGCAACUCCAGACCGAGUAUUAUAGCCAACUGUAACCCUACGCUGGAGAAGUAUACUACUUGAGGGUUUCAUUGCAUAUUGUUCGCGAUCCAUGUUUUUAUAUAGAUAUAAGAACAAUUAAUGGUAUUGUUCACCUUACUUUCAAAGAUGCAUGUUAUGCUUAGGGUUUAAUUCACAAUAAAUACGAGUAUGUCAAAGCUUUCUAUGAGGCAAGUCAAUGGGUUCCCGCUCCUCUCUUCAAAUGAUGUACACUGCUUUGUUACUUAGAGGUUCUAUGAUGAAUUUCUUUCGUGUUUGGAGAUCCAUUCAAUGUUUUUAGUAUAAGUUUCAUCAAUUCUUUGCAUUUUCUUUGAUUUUUUUUCCUUAUUUAUCUUAUUUUUAACAAUUUCUUAGAUUUUUCCCUGUGUUUGGAUUUUAAUUAUUUUCUCUAAUGUACUUUCUAAAUUUAAUAAUCAUCAAUAAAAAUAAACAAUUAAACAUAUUUCUAAUUAGUUUUUGCUAAUUAAUAAUUUAUAUAUUGUUCUUAUUUUUACCCAUUUUAUAAUUGUUAUUUAUUGUUAUAAAAGAUGGACAAAUAGAUUUCCUAAUAAAUCAUAUAUAUUGCUCUUACUUUUAUUCACCUAUAAUUCUUAUAACAUUAGAGUAUAAAUAUAAAGGAGAAGACGUAGUUGAUGAUAAGUACUCGAAAAAGACAAAUUCAAAUAACACCAUGGAGAAUAAGAAGCAGAUGAACACGAAAUAGUGAAGAAGAUUAAGGUUAAGAAAAAAAGAUGUUGGAGUUAAAGAAGAAAACCGGAAGAAAAAAAAUAUGAAAGAUGAAGAAUACAAAGUAAAAGAAGAAGAAAUAGGAAAAUGAAGAUGAGAAAGAGAUGAAGAAAAAACAGAAGAAGAAGAGUUUGAAGAAGACCAAAGAGGAAUAAGAAAUAGAGAAUAAAGAAGGCUAAUAAAAAUUGAAAAAUAAGAAGAACUGAGAGAAUACAAAGAUGAUGAAGAAGAAGUCAAAGACAAUGAUGAAGAUAAAAGAAAAGAGUGAAGAAUAAGAAAAUCGAAAGAUAUAUAUAUAUAUAUAUAUAUAUAUAUAUAUAAGAGGAAGAAGAAAAAAAAGUACAAGUCAAAGACGAUGAAGAAGAAAAAGGAAAUUAUGAAGAAAAAGAUGAAGAAAAAAAAGUACAAGUCAAAGAUGGUGAAAAAGAAAAUGGAAAAUAUGAGGAAAAAUAAGAUGAAGAAUUUGCGGCAGAAAAAGAAGACAAAAGCCUUAAAAAUGGAGACUGGAGAAGAAGACGAAUAAAAACUAAAAAAAAGUAAGGAAAAUAUGAAGAGAACUAAACCAAAAGAUAAUGAAUAUGAAGAAGAGUAGAACAAAAAAAAGAGGAAGAAGAAGAAGGCAAAUCAGAAGAGAGAAAUGAAGUAGAAGUUGUAGACGAUGAAGAAGAGGAAAGAAAAGAUAGAAAUAAGAAAAUUGACGUCAAUGAUAAAAAAGAAGGAAAAGACGACGAAGAAGACCGAAAAAAAAAUCACAAUAAGAAAUGACAAGACGAAAAUAUUGAAGAAUAAGAACAGGAAGUGGAUGAUGAAUUUGGAGAAAGAGAGAGAUAGAGAGAAAUUGAGUUAAAGCUUUCAGGUCCAUGUAGAUGCAUCAGAGACAUGUAGAUGAAGAGAGAGAGAGUGUGAAUGAGAGAAAUAGAGAGAGAGAGAGAGAGAGAGAGAGAGAGAGAGAGAGGGAAAGAGGGAGAGAGAGAAAGAGAAAUGGUAAAGAGAGUUAUACUUUAUAAGUACAUAAUAUUAAAUCUUUGAUAGUUCGUUUUUUUGUGUUCCUGUUUUUUAUAUUUGAAACACUUUGUACUUUAAAUGUAAUUAUCUAAAUCGUACGAUAUAUAUAAUUUAGGACGAAGGGGGAAGGGAGAGAAUGAGAGAGAAAUACUAAAGAGAAAGAGGGAGAGAGAGAGAGAGAGAGAGAGAGAGAGAGAGAGAGAGAGAGAGAAUGAUAGGAAGGGGAGAUAGAGAGUGUUAAAGUUUUCAAGUACAUGUAUUUGAUUGAUAUAAAGGACGAAAGAAACUAAGAAGAAUAUGAAGUCGGAGAGAACGAAGAAGACGAAGGCAAUCAAGAAGAAGAAGAAGAAGUAGUAGAAUAGGAAGAAGAUGAGAAAAGGAUGUGGAAAACAACGAAGAAGAAGAAGAUGUGACAAAAAAAAACUUAAAGAACAAGAAGUAAGAAAAGACAUAUAGAAUGAAGAUGAGAAAGAAAAUGUAAUAAAAAUGGAAGAAAACUAAGAAGAACACGUGAGAGAAGAAGGAGAGAUAAAGAUGAAAGACGAUGAAGAAAUAUAAGGAAAAGACGAUAAAGAAGAAAAACUAAAAGAUAAAUAAGAAGAAAAAAAUGAGAAGAUAGAAAACAAUUAUGUGAAAACAAAAAACUCGAUUUUGUCUUAGUUUAAUUGGUUUGUGAGUUCAAUACACUUAUUUAGUAAACAUUUUUGACUUUAUAUGGAUGGUUUUUACUUUUUGCUUUGUUUUAUUUUAUCAUGUAUGUAUUAAAUAGUUGUUUUAAUUUUUUUUUAGUUUUUAGUUUAUAACAUUGAAAACUCCUAUGCCCGCACAAGGUGUAGACCAAACACCUAGUGUUAAAUUAUAUUCGAAAGAAAAAUAAACGGUUCACAAACGUUUUUCAAUACAUUUUGGAAUCCAAAUCUAUUUUAAUUUUAUCUAGAAGAGAACCAAAUUUCCAGUCCAUCCGCAAACUUCAGUACUCCAUUGCUUUGUAUGGAGCUGAUCUGAUUGUGAAUUUGCUUGUCGAUCAUCUUGACCAGUCGUAAUACUGUGGGGUCUCACCAUGUUGUCUAUCAUUUCUCUUCCUCCAAAUAGAAUGAACCGUGGCUUGGAAAAAGUGUUUUACAAAGAAAGCUGUAGUAGUUUUUGGGGAUUGAGUAAGCAGAAUCACCAACUGUCCCCAAUCGUGUGUGUACUGAGGUCCAUGCAGCCUUUUGACCAGCAUUUCCCAUACUUGUUUCGUAACCGAGCAUGAGAAAAACAGAUGGUCUUUUGUCUCCAAAGUAUUCUUGCAGAAAAUGCAUGUGGUGUUUGCGUUCAUAUUCCAGCUUUGCAUUCAGCCACCGGUUGCUAAUUGGUUUUUAACAGCUAACGAGACCAUGAAGGAGUACUUUGGUGUAGCCUGAGAAAACCAAACACCUCAGUACCAAUCUAACCUCUGUCUAACUGCUCGAAGUUGAUGCCAAGUGUAUUUGGAGACAAAUCUUGGUCUAAAUUUCCCAUCAUGGCCCUUCCAUUUACUAAUAUCCUCUGCAUUUUCAUCUAUUUGUUGUCUAAGUGUGGUGAGUUCCUGCUCAAUGUCCUGGUAAAUAGCUUGUCGAUGUCUCAUUUGUCAAGGCCUGUCUAGAACUUCACCAACUGUUGCUAGUCGGUUUAUUCCCAUCUCAAUAAUUCCAUGAUCUCUAACCCUCUUAUAGAAACAUCCCAACGCACUCCAUGAAUCAAACCAGAAGGAGGUGCUAUUACCACUUUUGACUUCUACUUCAUAAAACUGUUUUGCGAGCUCUCUAUACUUUAAUAGUUUUAUCCACAUCCAUGAUCCCAGACUUGUGGUGCUUUUAACAGCCCAGAAUGAUCCCCUUCGAAUCAGAUACCUCUUCACCCAAUUUACCCAUAAGGAGUCGGCAGAUGAGAGAAUCCUCCAAAUCAUCUUCAAACAACAUACUUUAUUUGCUACCUCAAUAGAUCGAAGACCUAAUCCUCCUUCUUCCUUUUGGUAAACAAACAUCCUUAUAAGAAACUUUUGCUUUUCUUGUGUUCAAAGAUAGACCAGACCACAAGAAAGCAGAACAGAGUUUAUCAAUUUUAUGUAUGCAAGCUUUAGGCAGUCUAAAUGUAGCAAUCCAGAAGUUUGUGAUGCUGAAAAUUACCAAUCUGAUGAGUUUCAGCCUUCCGGCAAAUUAGAGAGCUCUAACUGUCCAUUUGCUAAUUCAAUUUCAGAUAUUUUAUACGAGAGGCAGAUAAUCUGAGGCUGACAUCUUCUUCAUCAUUAGCAACAAUCCAUCUCACUGGCAAUUCUCCUUCAGCAAGAGGGAAUUCUUGUAAGAUCUCUUCCUUAACCCAUUAACUGCAUUGUGGUAUGUUAUGUUGCUUUUGUCCCCUACUUUCAGCCAAUAGAGCUUUGAUCUCUGGUAGAAAAAGUUUUCCUCUAUGUCUGCAAGUCUCAUCCAUGUCUUCAGAGCUGUUGAUUCUUCUUCUACUGCAUUAGAGGUAGGAUUCUGCAGGGUUAUACCUUGCAGUUCACAUAUCCGAGCAAAUGCUGCUUUGGUUCUCUUGGAAAUAUCAGCAAAAAAAUCUUUGCCUAACCCUCUUAACUUUGGUUUCAUCUGUUUCAGCUUUUUUGUCAGUCGAUGCAUAGCAGAGGUGGAGUGAAAUAGAGGCUGAGACAACUUCCAGAUUUCGUCGAACUCUUUUAGAAAGUUUAGAUGGCCAGAGAUGACAUUUGUAAACUUAAAAGGUAUGCGCACUUUCCUCUCAACUUCUUUCAGGUAGAAUCUGCAUCGCAAGUGGUCUGAGCAACCUCCUGGCUCAAAAACACUGUAAGAUCAAUCAUAAGCAUAGAUCCAUUCUUUAUUAAUGAGCACUCGAUCAAGUUUUUUGCAUAUCACACCUUCACUCCUUUUAUUGCACCAGGUGAACUUUUUUCCAUGGUAUACCAAGUCCAUAAGUUUACAAUUGUUUACGACCUCCUAAAAGUCUCUCAUUCCGGGAGGAAUGGAGGGUGAGUUGUCGUACUGUGAGUGUUCCUCACCAUCUAAAAUCUCAUUAAAGCUCUGCAGAUGAGCCAAACUCUGUCUCAGAACAGAGGCUAGACAUGGUGAUGUCUGAUCUCUUCCCAGAGUUUCUUCCAGUCCUUCACGAAAUUAGAUGCAUAUACAAACGAUAUAAAGAAUUCCUCAUUUCUUCCAUGAACCAAAACCGAUACUGUGACCAACUGUGAGAUCUUGUAAAAAAGAUUAACACACACAUUAUCUUUCCAAACAAUCCACAGCCUUUCUAGUCUGUGUUCUUCAUAAUUCGACAACAGAGAUCAACCAUUGAUUUUUUUUGCAAAAAUGUGAUCUGCUAUGUUUUUCUUGAUUUUUGUUUUAAUCAGACAACCAAAAUCAAAGUUUCCUUUCUGAAUCCAUUCUCUCACCACACCAUGUUUACUUGUCUUGUUUAACCCUCGGAUAUUCCAAAAGAAACCUAACAUUAAAGGUGUUUGUUUGAGUUGCGUGUUUCACAAAUAUCAGGGUUGUGUUCCUUGGUAUUAACGGUUUUUGACUGUGAUAAAAACUUAUGAGUGUCCUUCGAGCUACGUGGUAGAGGUUGUCGUAACAUUCCACCACCAUUCACUCUCAGACCUGUCUUAGUUUCCAUCAGACUUUGAUCUUUUCCUUCCCACCUCACUUCCUCCAUUACCUCUUAUCAUCGUUAUCUGUAUAUAAACUGUCAGACUUGACUGCAAAACAAACUCAUAUAUUACCAAUUCCUUCCUUUGUUGGAAACCAGCUUUCUUCUUUCAGAGCAAGAUAAAAUUGUGUUUGGCCGUUUUUUUCAUCAUUUUUUUUUCUUUUAUUGCGUCUUUCCAACUGUUUUUCUAGUUCUCACUCCAUCAGUUCCCAUCAGUUCCUCCUCGUACUGACCAAGUAGAGAUUCUUUUGGCUUUCAAGAAUGAGUUCUCAUCUCGCAACUGCAACCGCAUCUGAAACACGCCGGAUAUCAUAUACGAUAAUGCAAAUAUAAGCUCUUGGCCCAAACACGGUGAUUUUUAUUUUGGUACUGGUUAUAAGGAUUCCUUUUAUGGGGUUGACUUUGAUGAGAAAAUCGGUGUCGUUACACAGCUAGACCUUCGUGGUGCAUGUAUCAGUGGCACCAUCCAAGCUAAUAGUAGCCUCUUCAGAUUCCAACACCUCAGGUACUUCGAUCUCUCUAUCAACCACUUUGACUCGUGCCCAAUCCCUGCCGAAUUUGGCAGACUCACCAGCUUGGAAACCUUGAUUCUUAGCCAAAAUUGUUUUAUUGGAGAAGUCCCAUCCUCAAUCAGUAACCUGACCCGCUUAAUAAAGUUGAGCCUUUCAUAUAAUAAGCUCACUGGUCGUUUUCCCCACGUUCAUAAUUUAACCCUUCUUUCUUUUAUAGACCUUUCCUAUAAUCACUUCUCUGAAACCAUUCUUUCUUCUCUAUUCAAUAUGUAUUUCCUAUGGCAUCUUGAUCUGCGCCAAAACCAUCUUAGAGACCCACUUGAAAAUAACUAUAUAUACAUGUACAAUAAUUAGCUUUGAGUUAGGAACUAGCAAUGUGGGACAAAAUAACUAUUCUAAUAAUUUAACUAUACAAGGCCUAAUAAACCCAUUACUUCUCUUAAUACCCCCCUCAAGUUGGAGCAUGGAGAUCUCGAAUGCCCUACUUGCACAAAAUUCCUUUGAACGGACGUCUUCCAAAUGCUUUAGUGAAGAUAUCCGCCAGCUGAUUAGUAGUAGAAACAUGUUGUGUCUGAACAAUUCCAGUCUGUAUAUCGUCUCUAAUGAAAUGACAAUAAAUCUCCACAUGUAUCGUUCUCUGAUGAAACACAGGAUUAUCUGCAAUAUGAAGGGCAGACUGGCUGUCACAAUAUAAAUCCAUUGGACCAGAAUGUGCAGUACCCAUUGUUAACAUCACACUCUUUAGCCACUUCAACUCCUUCAAUGUUAAAACCAUAGCUCGAUACUCUGCCUCAGUUGAAGAGCAUGAUACAACAUCCUGCUUCUUUGACUUCCAUGACACAGGAGAAUUUCCCAACUGUAUCAACCAUCCACUCAAAGAUCUCCGUGUGAUUGGACAUCCAGCCCAAUCUGAAUCACACCAAAAAAAUUACAAUCAGAUUUCAAUAAAAUUCUCAUUCCCGGGCAUCCUUUCAAGUAACAAACAACUCUCAAUGCAGCCAUCCAAUGAUCCUCUCUUGGCUCAUUCAUAAAUUGAGACAACAUGUGAAUGGAGUAGGCAAGAUCUGGUCUAGUUGCAGCUAGGUAAAUCAACCUUCCAACCAGUCUCCGAUAGGAAAAAUGACUUUUUCCGACAUCAACUAUUGGAAAAUGUUAUAUAUAUGCUUGAACUUAUUUAAAUGCUUAAACAUACUUAAUCUUAAUAAUUAUUUGAAUUUCAUCCUUAAUCUUGAUUUUUCGUGCAUAAACCAACUUUCGUUUAAACGGAGUUAAGUUACCGUCAAACCUAGUCUACAUGGCAUCCACGUUAGCGACCAUAUUAAAGUUUUUUAAUAAAAAUUACAAAAUGACGUAGUUUUGUGUGUUAACUUUUUUCGAAAUUCAGGUGUAUCCAUUCAAGUUUUGUGAUUCGAAAUUGAAUUUAGGAAAUUGACACCGAGAUAGAUCUUUAUUCGAAGCUAGCUGAAAUCGAAUUGAAUCAGCUUGAUUAUAUCAAAGCUGGGUUAAAUGGAAUAGAGGCCAUUCGAUUACAUUGAAGCUAAGUUUAAUCGAAUUGAAUUAAGAAAUCCCUUGAAUUAAUAUGAUUAUAUCGAAUCUGGGUUGAACCAAAUAACAUCAAUUUGAUUAUAUUGAAGCUGGGUUAAAUUGAUCUUAUCUUUGAUGUUUUGAAUCAACGAUAACUUUAAAAAAUAUUAUUAUGUUGUCAGAUGAUUAAUGAUUUUGUGUGUUCUUCUUUGUUCAAUCAAGGUGAAAUUGAUUGAGAAGAAGAAACGAUUUUUGAAGGACGAACAACAAAAAUGGGGCCCUGAGAAAAACAACAACACAAGCUUCCCACAAUCAGAGCCAAAGCUCUGCGAUAACGGAUGUAGAUUCUUUGGGUCACCAUCGCCUCCGAGCUGAGGAAGAUUAAAAGGCGGUAGCAGAACCUGUAGUUAAGAAAUCACUAAAGUUUCCAUCUUUCAGUCUCGUCACACCAUAACAAAAACAGCCUCUGGAAACUAUUCAAACCUCUGUGGUCUGUGAGUGUCAAGAUGUUGAAGAAGAGAGGAAGAGACGAAUAAGAGAGGAAGAGACAAAUAAGAGAAUACAUGAAAAAGACGAGAUGAAAGAGAAAAAAACGAUGUAGUUUCACUUAAAGAGAUCAAAGCAACGUCGUUUUGUAUUUUUUUUUUUUAAAAAAAAAUCUCGCUUACAUGGAUGCCACGUAGGCUGGGUUUGAUAGCAACUUAACCCCGUUUGGAUGAAAGUUGGUUUACGCACAAAAAAUCAAGAUUAGGAAUGAAAUUCAAAUUAUUAUGAAAAUUAAGUAUGUUUAAGCACUUAAACAAGUUCAAGUAUAGAUUUAACAUUUUUUGAUAGUUGAGGUUGGAAAAAGCCAAUUUUCCGUCUUCGAUACUUCUCAGGAUCAGCAAGUAUCUUUGUUGUCGACCUUCCCAAUUGAUUAUUUGGAUCCAUUGGAAACUCAACAGGUCUACCACCAAGCAAACCGACAUCAGCAAUAAUAUCCAAAGCAUACUUUCUCUGUGAUAAGUAUAUACCCUCUGCAUUUCUAGCAACUUCCAAUCCAAGAAAAUAUUUCAAUUUUCCUAAAUCUUUCAUAUGAAAGCAAUUGCUUAAAUACGUUUUAAACUUUUGUAUCACCUCAGGAGAGCUUCAUGUCACCACAAGAUCAUCCACAUAUACUAGAACGUGCAAGUGAACUUUAUCACGAACUAUUAAUCAGCUUUAUUCUGUGUAAAACUAUACCCCAUGAGUGCCUUCGAAAGUUUUGCGAACCAACAUCGUGGAGCUUGUUUCAAACCAUACAGCGACUUGCAAACAACAUACUAUACUCUUCUUAGAAGCACCAAAACCCUGAGGUACCCUCAUAAACACCUCUUCAUCCAAAUCCCCAUGAAGAAACGCAUUGUGCACAUUCAUUUGAUGUAGCUCCCAAUUUUUCUCAGCGGCAACUUGAAGAACCAAUCGAACUAUGCUCAUCUUUGCUACAUGAGCAAAUGUAUCAGAAUAAUCAAUCCCCUCUUUCUGACGAUUGCCACAAGUCUUUCCUUAUACCUUUCAAUCGAGCCAUCUGCAUUAUACUUAAUCGUGUAAACCCAUUUACACUCAAUUACAUGCUUACCUGGUGGUAACUGUUCAAUCAAUCAAGUUUGAUUUCGUUCCUGGGCUUCAAUCUCCAGUCUCAUAGCUUCUCUCCAUUGCGGAUCCUUCAUAGCCUCAACAAAAGUUUUCGGCACAACUCCUUCAGUUAUACUACACAGAAAUGCCUUGUGUGAUACAGAGAAUCUUUCACAAUUCACAUAAUUCUCAAUGCCGUAAUCAUUACUCAUCUCCUGACUUACAGUGGAUGUGUUCAUUGUAAAUGUCGUAUUACACACAUAAUCACGUAACUUGACAGAAGUUUCUUUCUUUCUCAUCCCUCGUCCCAAAGUUUCUGUUGAUGUAGGUUGUUGCACAGUUUCAGCCUGUGUCACCGAUGCAGAUUCUGUCACUAAAGUAGGCUGCACAUUCUCAGACCGUGUAACCGAUGCAGGUUCUGUCACUAAAGCAGGCUGCACAUUCUCAAACUGUGUAACCGAUAAAGGUUCAGUAUGUGGCAAUGUAAUUCCUAAGAUAUCGCGUAUUUCAUUUCCUAUAGUCUGUCUUUCUUCUUCUGCAACCUUGUCUGACACAACCUGAGUCUGUGUCACUGUAUCUCUUGUGAGAAGUUGUAAAAUUUAUCUUGUCAAAGCAGGUACUAUAUCGUCAAAUCCAACAUUAUCAUCCACAUAUAACCUCGUUUGAUCACAUUUAGAAGGCUCAUCCAGCUUUACAUUUUCUAGCUCCAAAUAUGGAAACCUUUCCUCAAUAAAAGGGACAUCCUGAGAAACAAAGAUCUCAUGGGUGUCCAAAUCAAAUAAGUUCCAGCCCUUCUUUGCAUAAGGGUAUCCCCAAAAUAUGCAUUUUCUACUUCUACUCGCAAAUUUAUCGCCAUGACGUUUCUGAUUGUGAGCAUACGCUAAACAUCCAAAAACUUGUAUCUCACUAUAAGCAGGAGCUUUUCCAAAUAUGAUUUUAUAAGGACUCUUACCAUUGUGUAACAUAGAAGGUGUACGAUUGAUUAGAUACGCAGCAAUUAAAGCACAAUAACUCCAAAGUUCUAUUGGUAAAUUUGCCUGAAAUCUCAACGCUCGUGCGACAUUCAGUAUAUGUUGAUGUUUUCGCUCCACUCUGCCAUUUUGUUGAGGAGUUCCCACACACGAAGUUUGAUGAAUUAUCCCUGAUAUACGAAAAUACUCCUUCAUACCCAUGAAUUCACUACCAUUAUCACUUCGCACGAUUUUCACAUGUUUCUCAAACUGACGUUGAAUGAGAGAAAAGAAAUGUACCAUUGUUUUCUGAACUUGUGUUUUGUCAGCAAGAAGAAAAACCCACACAGCUCUAGAAUAAUCGUACACAAUAGUAAAAAAUAAGAGGAUCCACACACGCUCUGUGUUCGAUAUGGCCUCCAAAAAUCACAAUGAAUCAUCUCAAAGCAUUCUUUGCUUUUCUCUGUACUCACAGGAAAUACAUUCCGACACUGUUUUGCUCGGAAACAGACAUCACAAUCAGAAACACCAACACUCUUUUGAUCCACUUCUGGCAAUCUUAUAAUAAUCUUUUCAGAAGCAUGUCCCAUCCUUUUAUGCCAAAGUUCCAAAGAUCACAACUUAUUGACCUUCGCCACAUUCACGAUCUUCUGAAUACCUUGAGGAAAAUACAAUCCAUAUUUUCUUUCACCCACUGCAAUCAAAAUCUGCAAAGCAGGAUCCAGUACCCGACACAUUUGCUUGGAGAACAACACAAUACAAUUAAUUGCAUCAAUAAUCUGUGAUACGGAUAUGAGAUUGCACUUGAGUUCCUUGACAAAAAGCACAUGUGUCAAAGUUAACUUCUCCGUUAAUGCCACAUUUCCUUCUCUAUCAGCAACCACAACAUUUCCAUUAGGAAGACCCACUAAACAUGGUGAGAUUUUAUGCACAUCAAACAUACCACUUAACGUACCCGUCAUAUGGUGCAACGCACCACUAUCAAUAAUCCACUCAUCUGUAUGUGUUAUCACUCACACGAUUUGUCAUCUCUAAUCUCGAAUCAAGCCAUCGAACAAGCUUAUGCCAUUGAUCUUUCUUGAGCCCAUCACAGCUUGUGGAUCAACCUGUGACUCCUCAAUUUAUGACACACAUUUCAUAGGUUUUCCAUACUUCUCCAGCCACCAAUCUGGAUAUCCAUAUACCUGAUAACAUGAUCUCACAUCAUGACUAUACUUCGAACAAUGAGAACACAUAAUUCUUCGACUCUGAAUUCUCAUAUUUUCUAAAAAAAACAGAGAAAUUUCCAAAGUUUCGUCACCGAAUAAAGAAAACUCAAGCCUUUAUGGCUCUGUAGAAAUCUCGAACCUCGUCGGUUGAUCUGCUCAAGUUUAAUCCCUAAGCUACUCUGCAAGAGCACAGACGUGCAGUUGUAGUAUGUAGGGGUCGAAGNNNNNNNNNNNNNNNNNNNNNNNNNNNNNNNNNNNNNNNNNNNNNNNNNNNNNNNNNNNNNNNNNNNNNNNNNNNNNNNNNNNNNNNNNNNNNNNNNNNNNNNNNNNNNNNNNNNNNNNNNNNNNNNNNNNNNNNNNNNNNNNNNNNNNNNNNNNNNNNNNNNNNNNNNNNNNNNNNNNNNNNNNNNNNNNNNNNNNNNNNNNNNNNNNNNNNNNNNNNNNNNNNNNNNNNNNNNNNNNNNNNNNNNNNNNNNNNNNNNNNNNNNNNNNNNNNNNNNNNNNGAGAUUAGAUCUAGGGCAUUUCUCAGGAAAUCAAUGAAUGCAGACAAUCGAUUAUCAGGGUUCAGGUUUAAGCACGGUUCUGAACUCGAAUCUCAAAAUUAUAAUUUACCAACUUCCGUUGCGAGAAUUAUCUAAGUCUAAAUCCUAGAAUUCCAAAUUCCUUUGCAAACCCUAAAGAUUUAAACCAGCUUUAAUGCUCAAGUUCGAUAUGUUCACAAAGUAUCUAAACCAAAUUCCUUUGUGAAUAGCUACUUUGCUCACCCUAGGUUCUUUCCAGUUAUUCAAUUACACUUCCGUGUCAAUCAAUUAACCUAAGAUCUAAGUUCUAGGUGGCCAGUCCAGAAUUAGCUUUAAGAACAACCUAUGGUGAAGAACUAAAUAGAUUAUGAACCCUAAUUAAUCAAUCAAUCCAACAUCCAAAGAAAUCCUUUAUGAGAACCCUAAACCUAACAGACAAACUACUCAGACAUGAAGAUUGAAGCAAUAAACAUGAAUGAAUAGAUUGCAGAAAAGAAAUAAUAGAUUAAUAAACAGGGGUUCGAAAUCUUCUCUCUCCGGAACAGAGUUUCAGACUUGUCUCCCCAAAAGCUCUCAAAAACAAAAGUUCUCUCUAAAAAAAUCUCUGAUAUUGAUAUAAGGUGGCUAAAAACCCUAUUUAUAACUUAAAAACAUGUUUUGGGCUUCUUUGUAGACUUUUGGGCCCAACUCCUUCAAACAGGAAACAAAAUCACGUUUUCCUUAUUUUUGCAACAAGUGUCGAGCGUCACUCUCCAUGGUGUCGAGCGACACUAAAGCACAGAAUCCAUCCUUGACGAAUUUGAUCCUGAUUAAGCUCCAAACUGCUCCAAAAUCUCCAGUUAAGCUCCAAACGUACCUAAGACCUGUAAAGACUCCAAAAGACUCAAAAAACACUAGAAAGACUCUAUAAAUAAGACUUAUACCAUGGUUUAAAACCAUAAAAACCAUGAUAUAUCAUCGGUUCGAGUUCACCACCAAAAAACAGAAGAGCAAAAUGGCUCUAUGAAAAUCCUGAACUUCGUCGGUCCAAUUCACCACCAAAAAUAGAAGAGCAAAACCUCGUCGGUUUGCUUUCCAAUACACCACAACUUAUAACAAAAAUUUGAAUCAAGAGCUAGACCAAAACUUUAUGUAGUCUUUGGCUCUGAUACCAUGUCAAAGUAAUUUGCGGAAGUCUUUUAUUCAUCAGCUUAAAAGCAGCUAUAUAUACAUAUACAAGAAUUAGCUUUGAGUUAGGAAAUUAGCAAUGUGGGACAAAAUAACUAUUCUUAAAAUUUAACUAUACAAGGCCUAAUAAGUUCAUUACUUCUCUUCAUAUAAUCCAUCCAUUCAUUUUAGAGGUAAAGGACAAAACAUGGAGUUCGAAAAAAUUUUACAGACAUACAGUCAUUGAUUUCUCUGGAAACAGAUUUGGAGGACAGAUUCCAGAAUCCAUAGGUCUCUUAAAGGAACUGAUUGUUGGACUUUUCUAACAACAGUUUCACAGGCCAUAUUCCAUCAUCGUUGGCCAAACUCACACAACUCAAGUCAUUGGAUCUAUCUCAAAACAAACUUUUCGGAAAAUUCCUCAAGAGCUAAGAGCCCUCACAUUCUUAGCGUACAUCAACAUGUCACAUAACAAACUCACCGGCAAAAUACCACAGGGUACACAGAUUGUAGGGCAACCUAAAUCCUUUUUGAAGGGAAUAUCGAUCUUUGUGGUCUUCCUCUUCAAGAUAGUUAUUUUAAAAAAAAUGUACAACUAACAACAACACAAACACAAAAGCCACAACUGCCAAAGAAAGAACAGUUGUUGAACUGAAAAGCAGCCGCAAUAGGUUAUAGACCUGGAGUGUUGUUUGGACUGGUGAUCGCACAAGCCUUUGCUUCAGAUAAACCGGUAUUGUUUUAUAAGUUGUUUCGCCUUUGAGUUAUGAAUCAUUUCCUUUUCUUCCUUUUUUGUUUUGUUUGAAUCAUAAGUAAAAGAAUCAGUUCCCUCUCUUUGCUUUUGGGCUUUAAUAAAAAAAACUGUUGGUAAACCAGCUCCGAUCAAGCCUCCGCGAUCGCCGAUUAAACUCCGAUCACUAAUCUUUUUUAACUAACGAAUGAAUAACUAUGAAUCGAACUUGCGUAAAGGUAAACGACACCGAGAAUUUACGUGUUCAGCCUCCAUCGUCAAUGCGACAGCAGCCUACUCACGCUGGGAUCACUUUCCCGGAAAUCCACUACACCGGAGAAGAAGAUACAGAGUUUUCUGAGAAUCUUUCUCUCUCAAUACAGUUUGUUCUCUCUCACUCUAUAACACUAUAUAAGAUUGACUCUCUCUCUCUACAAUACACAUGAACACACGCAGCUCACACAUAUACCAGAAAGUUCCGUCCAUUGACCAUUAACGCUCUGCAACUAACGGCUUUGACUUUCUUGAGCAGAUGACGACCAGAGUCAGCGACGUCGUUUCCAGCUUCGUACUUCCAAGCCCAACAUCGGAAAACCGAGGCCCAGUGAUUUAAGCUCAUUAAGCCCAACAAAUCUCCAUCUAAUGACUUAGUCAUUUUCCCUCCAUCGACUCUGCUUCAAAACAACAGCUCUUCUCGUCUUCUUCUCCAUAGCUUUCCUUGUGAUCCCGGAACCAGUCCCUUCUACUCGGAACAGACGUGAAGCAUCUGCAAUGCUUCCUCCACCUUUGUCACUGGAAUGACUUUUGUAAACAUGUCUGCAGGAUUUAUCUGAGUCGGAAUCUUCGUGACUCGAAUCUUGUUUUCUUCGAUCUUCUCUCGAAUAAAAUGAUACUUAGUCUCCACGUGUUUCGUUCUCUCGUGGAAGACAUUGUUCUUUGAAAAUGCAAUAGCGCUUUGGGAGUCACAGAACAACUCCACCUGCUCCUGUUUAUACCCAAAAUCAUUGCAAAGACCUUGAAGCCAAAGAGCUUCUUUUGUCGCUUCAUUCAGAGCAAUGUACUCUGACUCCGUGGUUGACAACGCCACAACUUUCUGUAGACCUGACUUCCAACUAAUAGCAGUGUCUCCGAAAGUAAACAUGAACCCAGUUAUGGACCUUCUCCUGUCCAUGUCUGAUUCAUAGUCUGCAUCGCAAUAUCCCUUUAGCUUGAGUUCUUUGCUUCUUCCAAACACUAGUCUAGUAUCUUUAGUUCCUCUCAGAUACCGAAGCACCCACUUCACAGCUAACCAAUGAUCCUUAAUUGGAUUUGCCAUAAAUCUACUCACCAUGCCCACCGGAUAAGCAAGAUCAGGCCUUGUCCCGAUCAUCGAGUACAUGAUACUUCCUACGGCAUUUGCGUAAGGAAUAUCCCUCAUAUACUCAACUUUACUCUCAAGCUCCUUUUCAGUUGCUGUUUUCAACUUGAAAUGAGCUCCGAGUGGAGUCUUGACUGACUUCGCAUGAUCGAGAUGAAAUAGCUUCAGAAUCUUUUCGAUAUAACCUUUCUGAGACAACUCAAUUCUGAAAUUUGCUCUAUCUCUCUUGAUCUCCAUGCCCAAAAUCUUCCUUGCUGCUCCCAAGUCCUUCAUUUCAAAAGUCUGACUUAAUUGUGUCUUCAAUGAACUAACCUCUUGCUUGUUCCUUGAAGCUAUCAACAUGUCAUCAACAUAGAGCAACAAGUAUACAAGCUCUCCAUCUGCAAGCUUCUUCACAUAUACAUAACUGUCAUGUCCACUCCUCUUGAAUUUAAUCCCCUUCAUAAACUGAUUAAACUUUUGGUUGCAUUGUCUGGGAUUUUGCUUCAAACCAUAAAGGGACUUCCUCAACUGGCACACCAUAUUCUCCUUACCUUUCUCUGUAAAUCCUUCUGGUUGCCUCAUGUAUAUGGUUUCAUCCAAUUCGCCGUGCAGAAAAUCUGUUUUGACAUCUAGUUGCUCAAGUUCCAUGUCUUCAUGAGCAACAAUUUCAAGCAAAACCCUUAUAGAAACAUGUUUCACAACAGGUGCAAAGAUUUCAUUGUAAUAUAUGCCCUCCUUUGUGUAAAAUCUUUUGCUACUAACCUGGCUUUAAAACGAGGUUCUUCAAAUCCAGGUAUACCUUCUUUUCUCUUAUAUACCCAUUUGCUACCGAUGACCCGAGCUUUUGCAGGAAGCUCCACUACAUCCCAAGUUUUGUUCUUUGCUAAAGAGACCAUCUCUUCAUUCAUAGCCUCAUUCCAUUAUCCCAGUACUUAUCUUUUGUAGCCUCAAAGUAAUCCUUAGGCUCUGAAGCUUCUCAUUCCUCAGUAGUCAUAAACACAUACACUACCAUCUGGUUUUCUCUGUACCUCAUCGGAACUUGGAUCUCUCUUCUGGCUCUAUCUCUAGCCAACUGAUAAUCUUCGAGACUUGGAGGCAUCUCAAUGCUCUCUCCAUCUUCAUUUACCUCUGGUUCACUAUCUGUGUCAGAUUUUACUUGAGAUCCGUCACUAUGGUCUGCAUUUCCUGCAGACAUGUCUCUCUCUGAGUUCACUUCUAGCUCUACCAAUCGGUUACUACCUAAGUUCUCAUUUUGAACCUUUACUGCAUCCUUAUACAGCACAUCCUCCUUGAACACUGCAUUUCGACUGACCACACACCUUUUCUCGUCGAUUAACCAUACCUUGAACCCUUUUACACCGGCUGGAUAACCCACAAAGACCCCUUUCUUAGCUCUUGGAUUUAGCUUACCUUCAUCUGCGUGAACAUAGACAAUACAUCCAAACCGUUUAAGAUAGUCAUAGUCUUGCUUUGUAUUAUACCAAACCUCAUCAGGAAUUCUGCAGUCUAUCGCCGUAGAUGGUGACUUAUUUAUAAGAUUAACUGCAGUUGAGGCUGCUUCAGCCCAAAACACUUUCGGUAACCCUGAUUCACUGAGCAUACUUCUGACUUUGUCCAUUAUAGUUCUAUUCAUUCUCUCUGCAACUCCAUUUUGCUGAGGAGUGUAAGCUAUUGUUUUAUGUCUCAGAAUCCCAUUCUCUUUACACAUAGUAUCAAACUGAAUGUUGCAAAACUCAAGGCCAUUAUCAGUUCUAAGUUUCUUAAGCUUCCUCUCUGUCUGGUUCUCAACCAUUAUUCUCCAUUCAUUGAACUUGAGAAACGCUUCAUCUUUAGUCUUGAGGAACCGAACCCACACCUUACGGCUAUGAUCAUUAAUGAUACUCAGAAAAUACUGACAACUUCCCAAUGACUUUGGCACAUAAGAUGAACCCCACAGAUCCGAAUGUACAUAGUCUAAAGGACACUUUGAAAUAUGCUUCCCUGUCUCAAACUUUAACCGAUGAGCCUUUCUGAAUAUACAGUCUUCACAAAAGUUGAGCCGAGAAACCUUUUUACCGUCUAACAAUCCUCUCUUGACCAGAAGAUCUAGCCCUUUUUGACUCAUAUGUCCAAGCUUGCUAUGCCACAAAUGAGUAUCAUCAUUUCUUACUGCAUUUGUACAAGCUAUACCUUCUUGUAGUUUACCUUUCUCACACAGAAAAUAUAAGGACUGAUGUCUCUUGCCUUGUAGAACAACUCUACCAUUCUUCUUUAUCUUGAGACUUCCAUUUUCGGAACUAUAAGAGCAUCCUUGCUCCUCCAAAGUUCCCAGAGACAACAGAUUCCUUUUCAUCUCAGGUAUAAACCUGACUUUAGUCAGAAUGACCUGUGAACCAUCUUCGUUAAUGAUCCUCACAGAACCGAUACCUCUCACCUUUGAUACUGUAUCAUUUGCCAUCCUAACCUCCCUAGACCUGCUUUCAUCUAAGUCCAGGAACCAAUCCCUUCUCCAAGUCAUACGGAAAGAACAUCCAGAGUCAAUGACCCAUCUAGUCUCUAGAUCAACUACAGUGAUAUUCAGAACCUCUUCAACAAACAACAUGUCAACCUUAACCUCACCGGAGUCGUUUACCAAUGAUGAUUCACCACGUUGCUGCUGAUUCUUCAUACCAUUUUUUGAACGUUUGGGACACUGUAAUUUAAAGUGCCCAGUUUCCCCACAGAUCCAACAGGUUUUCUUAGUCUUAUCCUUGUUCUUUGCCUUCUAGUCUUCUGAGAAACAUUCUGUUUCUUUUCUUCCGGCUUGGCCCACUUAGACAUAGGUCUGUCUUUGACAUAGAGGCUCUCUGCAUCACCCUUCUGUUCCUUAGAAGUUGUGCCUGAUUCCUGCUCUUUCGACUUGAUUGCAGAGAUAACCUCUUUCAAUGUCAAAGUUACUUUGUUGUAUCUCAGAGUGUCCUUUAAACUCUCAAACAUUGGAGGUAAAGACAUCAACAGCAUUAUUGCUUGAUCUUCAUCCGAGAUAACUACUUCUGCAUUCUCUAGAUCAGCAAUAAGUCUCAAGAAUUCAUCUACAUUCCUUUUUAGAGAAAGACUUGGAUGCAUCUUAAAACCGAAUAACCUUUGUUUCAGAUGAAUUCUACUUGUAAGAGUCUUUGAGCUAUAGAGUUCAUCAAGUUGAUUCAACAUACCGGCUGCAGAUUGCUCCUUGAGGACUUUCCGGAGAAUGGUGUUCGUAAGACUCAGCACGACAAUACUCCUCGCCUUUCUUUGUUUGUCUUCUAAAGCCUCUGCAUCAUCUCCUUUUGAAUCUAUCGAUGAGUCUCCAUCUUUAGCUCCCUUCCCCUUCGCUUUGGUUGGAUCCAUGAUGUUUGGCUUGUAAAGACAAAAAAGCUCAAGAUGAGCAAUCAAUCUUUCUCGCCACAUCAAGUAAUCACAGGAUCCAUCAAACUUCUCGACAUCGUACUUAGAUGACGACGACAUCGCGCCAGAUCCCUGAGCUGCCGUGGAACCUGGCUCUGAUACCACUUGUUGGUAAACCAGCUCCGAUCAAGCCUCCGCGACCACCGAUUAAACUCCAAUCACUAAUCUUGUUUAUUUAACGAAUGAAUAACUGUGAAUCGAACUUGCGGAAAAGUAAACGACACCGAGAAUUUACGUGUUCGGCCUCCACCGUCAAUGCGACGGCAGCCUACUCACACCGGGAUCACUUUCUCGGAAAUCCACUACACCGGAGAAGAAGAUACAGAGUUUUCCGAGAAUCUUUCUCUCUCAAUACAGUUCGUUCUCUCUCACUCUAGAACACUAUAUAAGAUUGACUCUCUCUCUCUACAAUACACAUGAACACACGCAGCUCACACAUAUACCAGAAAGUUCCGUCCGUUGACCGUUAACGCUCUGCAACUAACGGCUUUGACUUUCUUGAGCAGAUGACGACCAGAGUCAGCGACGUCGUUUCCAGCUUCGUACUUCGAAGCCCAACAUCGGAAAACCGAGGCCCAAUGACUUAAGCUCAUUAAGCCCAACACGAACAACACUACUUUGUAUCUCUCAAGCUAUAUUCUUGUUCUCUCACGGAGAAGUUUGUAGUUACUCUGUGUAACACACGAUCGCGAUCACUUUGAACUUAAAGAUCUUGCGCCCUAUUUUGAAUCUCAAGCAACCACAUCUGCGUAAACUAAAUGAUAACAACAAAGAGGAAUGAGUAAUGAUUACACAAAUAAACUCACUAGGCGUACAAGUAAUAUGUUCAACCAACGAAUUCAAUAAGUGUCAUCUUACUUAACCAUUUUAAGUUUUAAUAACACAUCAAACUUACUUUCAUAAAAACUUUAUCUCUAUCAUCUCGUUCUCUUUUCUUAACACGUUUUUCUUUGUCAAAUUCUUAACACAUAGCUAUACUUCACAAUAUCAUCAUCAUAAUCUGUCUUAUCAUAUAUAAUCGAUCUUCACAUAAUUCUAAGCAACCUAUCAAAUACAAUCAUAUGCAUCUUUCACCAUCAUUAUCUAAGAGUAAUACUUCAAAGAGUAAUACUUCAAAUACUCGGGAUUUUCAAUCCAGCGUCAUACUUCACAGUUCUUGCCUCUUGGGAACUAAUGAGUUUUCUGUAGGAACUAUAACUUUCACUUCUCACACAGAUCAUCAAAACAUUUAAAAGUUAAUAGGAACAUAUCAAGAAGCAUCAUUGCAUUAAAAACCCUCACAAAGAGAUUUAUAUUACUCUGCUUUUUCCCAAAAUUUCAUUUUCUUGCCAGAUAUAAACAGCAGAUCACAAGAGAAAAGGUAUCUUGAAUAUUGCAGCUCUAGAACUCUUGUUUGUCUCAGCUGUUUCCUUCAUACUUGUCCAUGAUUUUCUCUUCCUCUUAUUUGAUGAUGGACCAACUGUUUUCUCAGGAACGCUUUCGGGCUCAGUCCGUUUCUUACUUUUGGGUUUUCUUAUUCUCUUCUCUCUCUCCAAAGUAAGCAUUGGCUUUGGCGUAUUCACAACACCAUUCUCCACCUGAUCUUCCUCAGAUCUUUUAGGUGAAGAAAGCAUGUUACUUUGGGUUUCUUGAGGCAACAUCAUCUCUUUCCUGAUAUUAGGACGUGAACGAGUGGGUUUAGGCUUGGGCGGGCAAAUCUCUUUCAUCUGACCUUUCGCAGUUCCUCUCUUGAGAUUACGGUGAGAACAGAAACUGCAAUAGUAAACUACAUUGUUCUGAGGCAAAGAGAUGUUAGACUUGUUGCGCCUGUUGUUGUGUUUCUUCUUCUUGGAGGAAGAAACCCUUUCGAUUCUGACAUUGCAAUUGAAUCCCGGCUGAAGAAUGGUCUCACACCUACAUACGAGACAACCUUUGAAUCAUUACAUAUGAUCCAAUCCUGAUAAACCCUGUCAUUAAAAAUGGAAAAGAUUCUCUCUUUGUGAACAUUAAGCACUAGGCAAUCAAAAGCACUCUUCUGCCUUUAGUCAAAGAUACUCUCUGUUUGCACAAAUAGGCAAUGGAAGCAUAAACAAACGUCACAAACACACAGAACAAUGUGUCUUCUCACUUCGUAUAAUCGAAAAUCAGAUGAUUCUUGAUGAGGACAUCAAGUCAUCAUCAGACAUGAAGCAAGGAAUCAAGAAACAAGGAGAGGAGAACAUGGAGCCAAGACAAGCUAAGGAGACAUGCAAGCUUUUUCCAGGCCAAAUGAAGUCCAAGAACAAGUGUUCCAGCUCAACUAACACUUGGAUUACAUUCCUAGCUCAGCCAGAGCACGCCUCGAAGUGGAAUCAGUCCAAUUGGAGUUCAGAUGAAGGAGAUAUUAAGUUUAUAAAUCGGGUGAUCCUCAACUUACCCGUUUUAGACAUAUCCGCCUUAAUUGGAGAAGUCCAACUAAACCAAGAGGAAUUAAGCUGUAAACCGACAUUUUCUGGAAUCUUGACUCAUCAGAGAAUCCCGGGGAAUUGGAAUCAGACCGAGAUCGAUUUUGGUUUAGGAGAUAUUCAAUAUCUAAACCAAUGGAUCUCCCACUUGCCUUAUUUGGAAACUUCCGGGUUUUGGAGACUUCAAACAUAUCAGUGGCGCCCAGGAGACUCUGAGUUACUUCUAGAAGCUUUCUACAACAUCCUAAGGUGCACCAACAUGCAUUGGAUCAGGUGGAUCCAAUUGAGUUCUCAAUUAAGCCAACCGGAGCAGUUUAAGGAAAGUAUGAAGACUGACCGGUUCAAUCUCUUACAAACCCGAUUUUGGCGACCAGGAGAGUUUCUUAUACAUUUAGAGGAGUCUACAAACGUCUUACCAUGCUACAGAAACCACAGGAUCAGGCGGAUCCUCAUAUUUGUACACUUUCCUUUUCCGGAUGCAUUCACACUUGGAGGAAUAUCUCACCAACAGCUCUUUUCUCUUGAAUGCUACGACUUGGACGUGUUUUAUGAAGAAAUUAAUGUGCCAGAGAAGCUCACCUAUCCCCUCAAACCGUCCAGAUACAAAGGCUACAUCACUUCCUCUACUUUGGCCGAUUCUCGCCAUAAUAGCUCCAACGGCUAUAUUCUCUUAUUGCUAAGAUUUCUUUUCUUCUUUUUAGACUUUAGAACGUUUUAAGAGCUCUAUAUAAAGCUCAUUAUAUCAUUUGUACAAAUCACCAUUCAAUCUUAAAGUAAUAAAGCAUUUUCGUUUUUCUUCAAAGAGAGUUCUUUGCAAGAGUUAUUUCUUUUGAAUAUUGUGUGUGAUUCACAUUGUUCAUUAGAAUUCUUGGAUUAAACUAUUUGUGUGAUUUAAGUAGUUUGUUCGAUCACUUGAUAGAGAGAGUCUAUCAUCAGCAGAUUGAGUGAGUCAAUCAUCCUAUCAUCGCGCCAUCUCUACCAUCUAUUCCACCUUCCGCCAACAAAGCUUGUUGUCUUUGACAACCUUGUGAAUUAUAAGAUUUGGUGUGAUUCCAAUCUUAUAUCAAUUCUGCAACAAUGUGUCGAUUCUAAGCACAAGCUAGGGUUUCUAGAUUAAUUAAAAAACAAAACAAUUCUACUUAAUCAGGAAAGAUCACACCUACAUACAGAAAAACCUUUAAACCACUACAUAAUCCAGUUUUGAUAAACCCUGACUUGAAAAUGGAAAAAGAUUCUCUCUUUGUGAACAUUAAGCACUAGGCAAUCAAAAGAAUUCACCUUUCUUCUUCCUAUAGUCUAAGAUAUUGUGAAGAAAUAAGCAAUGGAAGCACAUAUUAAAAGUCACAAAAACACAGAACAAUGAUUAGUUGGUUCAUGAGAUUUCCUCUCACUUUGUAUAAUCGAAAACUAGAGGUUUCUGCAGCAAUGUGACGAUUCUAAGCACAAGAAAGGGUUUCUAGAUUGACUCAAAAAACCAAUUCUACUUAAUCACAGCUUUAUGAAUGAUCAGAAACCCUAACAUAGUUAGCACAGGCCUAGGGAGGAAGAGGCAGAAAUACCUUUGACAAGUGACGAGAUCAGGGUCAUGAGCAAUCCCCGAAGCUUCUCCGUCGGCAGCGAGACGCCGACCGAGCAAGGCGGCUAGCGACGGGAUGGGAUUAUCUCCGGCGGCAGACCAGAGAGUGAGAUUCUUCAAGUGGCCAUGUCUCAGCUCAGACUUGAGAUUAGGUCCUCCUUGAGCUCUUGUAAGCUUAUUAGCUCCUCGUUUCCCCAUAGCCUCAGAGAGAAAAUCCUUUGAUCGGAGGAACUCCGAUUAAAACUUCUCCGGUCGGAGCGAUUUUCUCAGUUCGAUUUCGGUGGGCUUCGGACACAGGAAGGGAAAUUGCGAACAUUAGGGUUCUUUUGUUGGAUUUACCGUGAAGUUAUUGGGCCUAAACUGCGAUAUCGAAAUUAUUAUUUACAGUAAAACCUCUAUAAAUUAAUAAUGUUAGGACCGACCACAAGAUUUUAUUAAUUUAUUAUGACAUUAAUUUAUUUAUAAAUUAAUAAUUAUUAAUUUAUAGAGGAAAAUUAUUUUUCGCUCAUCUUCUUCUUAAAUUUUCUUUCCAAUAAUGUUAUAUUUAAGAAUCUAAACUUAUAUGCUUAUAAAAAUGACAUAUAAAAAUUUAAUAUUAUGAUUACUAAUCAUAGUAAUCACAAUAGAAUAACUGUUAAUUGUCUAUAUAAAAAUAUAAAUGUUCAUUACUACAAGAUUUAUAAAAAGUGUAUGGCUAUUAUCCUUGAUGUUGGUGCUGAAAUUGAAGAUAAUACCAUAAUAUAUUUCAAAAUAAUUAUGCGUAAAAAAAUUAAUUAUCACAUCUAAAUUUUUUCACAAAUUUUGAAUGGAGAUAAAAAAAAAUAACAUUAUAAGCUAUUAACAUAAAUAGAUAAAGAGUUGAUUUUCUAUAAAAUUUCAAACUUAAAUAAAAAUAAACAACACAUUAAACACAGUCUAGUAUAUUAUAUCUUACAUAUAUAUAUACAUGAAUUUAUAUAAUUAUUAAUUUAUGUUUAUGUUGGGACCAUAUAUUUAUAUAAGGAUUUAAAAAAAUUAUUAUCUUUAUAUUUAUAUAAUAUGAAUGUUUUGACGACCGAGGCAAAGAAAGAUCUUUUCAAGAGCUUCAAAAAGUUGACAUUUUUGCUCUCUUCGGGGUAACUUGAAUAAUAUACAUGAGAUCAUAUAAAUACAAGUAGAAAGUAACUUUAAUUUCUUUAUGCCACAUGAGUAUUUUACUUUUUCUCCAAGAUUCUCGUAUUCCUUUUUUCCUUUGUGUUUCUUUUUUUUUUUUUGUUCACGUAGCAUUAAUUAUGUGUGUUGAGCUGUGUUAGUUUCGCACAUCAGGAGCUUCUUCUUCACCUUGACUAUAAACUACAACACACCACUUUCAAGUUUCGAUAUGAUCCGAACCCAAUAAAUGAAUUUACAAAUUAAAAAUGAUGUUAAUCGAUAUUGGUUGGAAUGGAUCCCUAUAUCUUAAAAUUCAGGAUAUUUGAAUUCGAACUGUAUAUCUAUCCAGAUUCGAUUUUGUGGCUUCUGAAUAUCGGACUUCUUCUAUUAUCCGUCCAAAAAAAUACAUGAGCAUACACAGUGGUGGACUCAGAAUAUUUUUAACCUGGGUCAAUUUAUCAAAUAAAAAAAUAUAUAUAUUAACAUGGAAGAGGGUCAUCUGACACCUCAUAAAUUGUUAUAUAAUUAAUUUUGUACAAGAAUCUAUCAAUUGGUAAAUGCUACCAAUUGAACCCCUUAAACCCAAGAUCAAACCCCUGGUAUUACCAAUAAAAUGGCGGAAUCAUUGACACUUUAAGAAAAAAAAAUAUAUUAAUAUGCAAAGUGGUGAAGUCGAUUUUCUUAAAGAUUCAGUUACUUGUUCGGUUUUUCUUAAGUUUUCGUGAUUUUACAAUGCACUUUCCAGCCCACAUGCUUGCAUCAAAAUCGAAUGAAAAAAAUAAGAUAAAAUAAAAUACAGAACCUUUCCUUGACCAAAAAUAAAUAAAUACGGUAAAACAAAAGUACAGCAACUACUUAUAUAAAUAACCACAUUAAAAGUAGUGUGACAAAAAAACACAUUAAAAUAUGAAAGAAACAUAAGCAUGAAGCAAAAUUAACAGAAGUAAUAUUUUUAUUUUGUUGCUCUUAUUCAGCUUGAACUUUGAACAUGCAAGUUACAAAUCUUAUCAUAAACUCAAAAAUUCAAACAACGAAAUGCCCACAGCAAGAACCAUUCCCCCAAGUAUAUUAUUAUUUCCUGUAAAAAAAAAAAAACAAGCAACAUUGGUCAUAAUACUAAUAGAAAAGGUAAAAAUAAAAACAAGAGAGAAAUAAUGUAGUAGUUAUAUUGUCCUUUGUUGUCAUAGAUACAUUUCUUUAUUUGAAACUUAAAACUGUUAAAUUGAAAUACUAGUUUUAAAACCAAAAGUUUACUACAAUUUAAUAAACGAUGGAUCGUAGUGAGAAAUUAGGGGUCAGGGGUGGCAAAAUAAUCCGCAACCGAAAACAAAAAACCGAACCAAACCUAAAGAUGUAGUUAAACCAAAACCUGAACUUUUUUUCAUAAACCGUUUAGUUUCAUUAUUUAAAUAUAUGAAUAUGAAAAAACUGAAAUCAAAACCCUAUUUUUUUAAAUACUCUAUAAAUGUAUAUAACUCACCUCUAAUCGAGAAGGAACCGCUGCGAUUCGGCGGUGGAAGCGGCGGCAACGACGAAGUUGUGGUAUCAAAACUCACCAAACAUUUGGGAGUCCAGAUCAUAGCCCAAAGCUGAUCACUACAACAAUCGGUGAUUUCUUGCAACGCAAGUUUCAGACAUGCGGUACAAUUUCUAGGAUCCAAGUAAGGAGUACACUGAACAAUACUCAAGAUCAUACAAAUUUUCAAACCUAGUCGUAUCCAUAAGAUAAUAUGGAGUAAGUGACGAAGACAACAUAGAAGAUCUUACGAUAACUUCUCCCAUUUUUUCAGACAACCUCUGUUUAAAAUUUCCAAAUGAUUUGGGUCUUGGAUCGAUAGACGCCCAAGAGGUACUAGGAACUGUUUCUAAGGUCGAGAGGAAGAACUUAUCUGAAUAACGAACCAUACAGUCGAAGUAGUAAAUGAUUGCUUCUCGAUGGUUAGAACAGUUUUUUGCGAUCUCGAUCGUUGCGGUCUUGACGCAGGCGUUGCAAGUUGUUCUGUUAACGUCUCCUGUGCAUAAGAACAUACCAUGGACUGUCUCUGAAGCUUGACCGGUCGUGAGGUUAUAAUAGUUAGCGAGCGAUGAUAGAUUGCUAAGAGUGGAGAGAAGAGUGUUGAGAUUUGUGUGGUAAGUUGAGUUGCGA